rnacentral:rRNA from 1 species
GAUGAACGCUGGCGGCGUGCUUAACACAUGCAAGUCGAACGAGGUCCAUGGAGCUUGCUCCGGAAGAUCUAGUGGCGAACGGGUGCAUAACACGUGAGAAACCUGCCUCAGUCUCUGGGAUAACAGUUGGAAACGACUGCUAAUACCGGAUGCCGUCACACCAUCACAUGGUGGAGUGACGAAAGAUUUAUUGGAUUGAGAGGGUCUCGCGGCCUAUCAGCUAGUUGGAGAGGUAACGGCUCACCAAGGCAUCGACGGGUAGCUGGUCUGAGAGGAUGAUCAGCCACACUGGGACUGAGACACGGCCCAG